UGAUAGUUUAGGGCUGUGCUGCCUCCUGUCCCCACCUGAUGGAGUACACUACCCAGCACCAGGGUGACUUCAACACAGCUGCAUAGUUACUUGAAGGUUGAGAAAAAAAAUCGUCAGGCAGGCAGGCAGGCAUAUUCUUUCAACCGUCAAGUCCAGCAGCUGUCAAAAUGCAAUGGAAAUCGGGUGAUUUCGGAAGGGCUAACCCCCAAAACGGACUUUGGAAUCUGCCUGCCUUCAUGGAAGUGUCACAAGCAUUUUAUACUAGGCAAUCUAUUCAAAAAUAAAGAAAACUAUCAAAUGAA